rnacentral:rRNA from 1 species
UACGUAGGGAGCAAGCGUUAUCCGGAUUUAUUGGGUGUAAAGGGCGUGUAGGCGGGAGCGCAAGUCAGAUGUGAAAACUCAGGGCUCAACCCUGAGCCUGCAUUUGAAACUGUGUUUCUUGAGUGCUGGAGAGGCAAUCGGAAUUCCGUGUGUAGCGGUGAAAUGCGUAGAUAUACGGAGGAACACCAGUGGCGAAGGCGGAUUGCUGGACAGUAACUGACGCUGAGGCGCGAAAGCGUGGGGAGCAAACAGG